rnacentral:rRNA from 1 species
ACGGGUGAGUAACGCGUGAGUAACCUGCCUUCAAGAGGGGGAUAACAUUCUGAAAAGAAUGCUAAUACCGCAUGACAUAUCGGAACCACAUGGUUUUGAUAUCAAAGAUUUUAUCGCUUGAAGAUGGACUCGCGUCCGAUUAGUUAGUUGGUGGGGUAACGGCUCACCAAGACCGCGAUCGGUAGCCGGACUGAGAGGUUGAACGGCCACAUUGGGACUGAGACACGGCCCAGACUCCUACGGGAGGCAGCAUG